GAUGAACGCUGGCGGCGUGCCUAACACAUGCAAGUCGAACGAAGCGCCUGGCCCCGACUUCUUCGGAACGAGGAGCCUUGCGACUGAGUGGCGGACGGGUGAGUAACGCGUGGGCAACCUGCCUUGCACUGGGGGAUAACAGCCAGAAAUGGCUGCUAAUACCGCAUAAGACCGAAGCGCCGCAUUGGCGCGGCGGCCAAAGCCCCGGCGGUGCAAGAUGGGCCCGCGUCUGAUUAGCUAGUUGGUGGGGUAACGGCCCACCAAGGCGACGAUCAGUAGCCGGACUGAGAGGUUGGCCGGCCACAUUGGGACUGGAGACACGGCCCAG
rnacentral:rRNA from 1 species